rnacentral:misc_RNA from 1 species
GAUGAAGAACGAAGCGAAAUGCGAUAAGUAAUGUGAAUUGCAGAAUUCAGUGAAUCAUCGAAUCUUUGAACGCACAUUGCGCCCCCUGGUAUUCCGGGGGGCAUGCCUGUUCGAGCGUCAUUUCACCACUCAAGCCUCGCUUGGUAUUGGGCAUCGCGGUCCGCCGCGCGCCUCAAAUCGACCGGCUGGGUCUUCUGUCCCCUAAGCGUUGUGGAAACUAUUCGCUAAAGGGUGUUCGGGAGGCUACGCCGUAAAACAACCCCAUUUCUAAGGUUGACCUCGGAUCAGGUAGGGAUACCCGCUGAACUUAAGCAUAUCAAUAAGCGGAGGA